rnacentral:misc_RNA from 1 species
GAUGAAGAACGCAGCGAAAUGCGAUAAGUAAUGUGAAUUGCAGAAUUCAGUGAAUCAUCGAAUCCUUGAACGCACAUUGCGCCCGCCAGUAUUCUGGCGGGCAUGCCUGUUCGAGCGUCAUUUCAACCAUCAAGCCCUGCUUGCGUUGGGGUCCUGCGGCUGCCCGCAGGCCCUGAAAACCAGUGGCGGGCUCGCUAGUCACACCGAGCGCAGUAAUACAUCUCGCUUUGGGCGUGCGGCGGGUUCUUGCCGUUAAACACCCCCUUUUUACCAAGGUUGACCUCGGAUCAGGUAGGAAUACCCGCUGAACUUAAGCAUAUCAAUAAGCGGAGGA